rnacentral:lncRNA from 13 species
CGAAAGUCAAGAUUGCUGCCGACUCACCACGCAUCUUAAGCUUAAAUUGCCUUCAGUGAUGAGUCCAGAUACUCACCCAAAGCCCAUUCCAUCUUCAGACAGCAGAAAAUCCUUUACUCUGUCAAGCUGAGUUCUGCCUGUUUAUAAUUCCUGUUUGUUGAAAUAAGGUCUCCCCCCCGCACACACACACACGAGGUUGUGCCAAAUAAGUAAUCAGAUAUAUGAAUGUAUAUGAAGAAGGUAACCAUUUAGUGGCAGCACUAAGCUUUCUGGAAAUAGGAAAUCAUGGUAGUAAGAUUUUAGAGGAAUUAAUACUGGCAUAGGCUUGGAGGGGAGGGGGGCUGUGUCCUAGGCCUUAUAGAAUUUCUUUGCUUAAUGUUGCUUGGCUUUCUUUCCUUUGUGAUAGAGUUGGAUCCAAUCAGAAUUCUCACGCCUGGCUCUAAGUUAGACUCGCCUGUAGGGCAGGCAGAAGUAUGUCCGAAAGCCCCCUAUGGUACACAACUGCUGGAUGAGAUCAUCAGUGGGAGAUCCACCAGCGACAUAAAAGAGAAGAAACAUUAGCUAGAGAAGAAAGAAGAGAUGUAAUGCCUGAUCUUAACCAAGAGUCAUGGCCUUCUUGUCCCCAUUCUUCUCAGCUGUAAGAGGUAAAACCAACCCACUUCAUUGAAUUGUCAUGAGGGUGAAUGAGACCAUGAGUGCAGAGCCUACUGGUAGUGAGAAGGCUCUCCAGAUCUUAAUUCCCUGAGCCUUUGACAGCUAGAAGAAAGUGCAAAUAGGAGGCUAGGGAGGUGCCAUAUCUGAGAGCAUUUCUCCUCAUCUUCCUUCCCAUAAACAGCCUCUGCUGAGCUGUAUCAUGUCCUCCCAAAAUUCAGAUGUUGAAAUCCUACCUUCUAGUACCUUAGAAUGGGACCUUAUUUGAAAAUAGGGUCAUUGCAGAUAUAAUUAGUUACGUGGAGGUCAUUAGAGUGGGCUUUAAUCGACCACAAGUGAUGGCUUCAUAAAAAGGGAAGCGCUUUGGAUACAGAGACACAGACACAAAAAGAACACCAUGUGAAGACGAAAAGAUAGAGGUGAUCUUUCUACCAGCCAAAGAGUGCCAGAUUGCCAGGAAAUGACCGGAAGCUAGGAGAGAAGGCUGGGACAGAGUCCUCCUUACAGCCCCCAAAAGAAGCCAACGGUGCCAACACCUUGAUCUCAGACUUCUGGCCUUCAGACCAAUGAGACAAUAGCACUCUGUCAUUGAAGCCAUAUCAGUGUGUGGUACUUUGUUUCAGCAGCCUUGGCAAACUAACACAAAUCUAGAGGUGGCUCUUAUUGAUGACAUCAGAGGACAGCUCUGUCCAGAUGGAAGGAGGCACUGAAGUUCCACAGAACAAGUGGGAGACACCUG